GACAGAGGUGCCGAGCGUUAGGCGGAAUCACUGGGCGUAAAGGGUGCGUAGGCGGGUCUUUAAGUCAGGGGUGAAAUCCUGGAGCUCAACUCCAGAACUGCCUUUGAUACUGAAGAUCUUGAGUUCGGGAGAGGUGAGUGGAACUGCGAGUGUAGAGGUGAAAUUCGUAGAUAUUCGCAAGAACACCAGUGGCGAAGGCGGCUCACUGGCCCGAUACUGACGCUGAGGCACGAAAGCGUGGGGAGCAAACAGG
rnacentral:rRNA from 1 species